rnacentral:tRNA from 1 species
GGGCCGGUAGCUCAGCAUGGAAGAGCGCCCGCUUGGCUUGCGGGAGGUCGCGAGUCAGCUCCA